GUGAAGAACGUAGCGAAAUGCGAUACGUAAUGUGAAUUGCAAAUUCAGUGAAUCAUCGAGUCUUUGAACGCACAUUGCGCCCCCUGGUAUUCCGGGGGGCAUGCCUGUCCGAGCGUCAUUGCUGCCCUCAAGCACGGCUUGUGUGUUGGGCCCCGUCCUCCGAUCCCGGGGGACGGGCCCGAAAGGCAGCGGCGGCACCGCGUCCGGUCCUCGAGCGUAUGGGGCUUUGUCACCCGCUCUGUAGGCCCGGCCGGCGCUUGCCGAUCAACCCAAAUUUUUUAUCCAGGUUGACCUCGGAUCAGGUAGGGAUACCCGCUGAACUUAAGCAUAUCAAUAAGCGGAGGA
rnacentral:misc_RNA from 1 species